ACCCAAAACUAGGCCCUCUCUUGUGUUUCAAUUAUUAAGAAAGUGCUUUUUGUUUUGGGCAU
rnacentral:pre_miRNA from 1 species